AUGUAUUGAAUGAAACAUGGCAACCCUAUCAACAUUUUAAGGCGAGUAUCGAACGCUGUAUCAUGGUGUUCACGGUGCAGAGUGGUGCUGAUAUUUUAUGAUAAAGCCGGCCACUUAUCAUAGCACUCUAAUAAUGCUAAUAGUAAAGAUAAGUAGGAUAAAAAAAAAGAAAAUCAGACUAGCUGUGGAUGAAAAUGAACUACAGAAUUACAUAGAUAAUGGAAAAAAGAAAAUACUCAACAUCUCUCGGAAAAUAAUGUCAUUAUGUAGAUCAAAAGGCCGUUGUCUCAACGUCAGGAUGUUCAUCAAAUUUGAACACUUGGAUGUACAGAUUCCUUACGUAUUUUGGACAUCUGUUUUUUUAUUGACAGGUCCACUGUCCACAACGUGCGUCCACAGCAUGUGAACCUUGAAGUUAAAAUACCACACCUAAUACUACACCUAGUACUACAUUCUUAUAAAAAAAUAUUAGGACCGCAAAAACGUUAUCUAAUUUAAAUCUCAUACAGUGGACUAGUAAACUAGUAGUAAUAAAAAAAAACAUGAUAUAA